GACGAACGCUGGCGGCGUGCUUAACACAUGCAAGUCGAACGGAAAGGCCCUGCUUUUGUGGGGUGCUCGAGUGGCGAACGGGUGAGUAACACGUGAGUAACCUGCCCUUGACUUUGGGAUAACUUCAGGAAACUGGGGCUAAUACCGGAUAGGAGCUCCUGCUGCAUGGUGGGGGUUGGAAAGUUUCGGCGGUUGGGGAUGGACUCGCGGCUUAUCAGCUUGUUGGUGGGGUAGUGGCUUACCAAGGCUUUGACGGGUAGCCGGCCUGAGAGGGUGACCGGCCACAUUGGGACUGAGAUACGGCCCAGACUCCUACGGGAGGCAGCAGUGGGGAAUAUUGCACAAUGGGCGGAAGCCUGAUGCAGCAACGCCGCGUGCGGGAUGACGGCCUUCGGGUUGUAAACCGCUUUCGCCUGUGACGAAGCGUGAGUGACAGUAAUGGGUAAAGAAGCACCGGCUAACUACGUGCCAGCAGCCGCGGUGAUACGUAGGGUGCGAGCGUUGUCCGGAUUUAUUGGGCGUAAAGGGCUCGUAGGUGGUUGAUCGCGUCGGAAGUGUAAUCUUGGGGCUUAACCCUGAGCGUGCUUUCGAUACGGGUUGACUUGAGGAAGGUAGGGGAGAAUGGAAUUCCUGGUGGAGCGGUGGAAUGCGCAGAUAUCAGGAGGAACACCAGUGGCGAAGGCGGUUCUCUGGGCCUUUCCUGACGCUGAGGAGCGAAAGCGUGGGGAGCGAACAGGCUUAGAUACCCUGGUAGUCCACGCUGUAAACGGUGGGUACUAGGUGUGGGGUCCAUUCCACGGGUUCCGUGCCGUAGCUAACGCUUUAAGUACCCCGCCUGGGGAGUACGGCCGCAAGGCUAAAACUCAAAGGAAUUGACGGGGCCCCGCACAAGCGGCGGAGCAUGCGGAUUAAUUCGAUGCAACGCGUAGAACCUUACCUGGGUUUGACAUGGAUCGGGAGUGCUCAGAGAUGGGUGUGCCUCUUUUGGGGUCGGUUCACAGGUGGUGCAUGCCUGUCGUCAGCUCGUGUCGUGAGAUGUUGGGUUAAGUCCCGCAACGAGCGCAACCCUUGUUCACUGUUGCCAGCACGUUAUGGUGGGGACUCAGUGGAGACCGCCGGGGUCAACUCGGAGGAAGGUGGGGAUGACGUCAAGUCCUCAUGCCCCUUAUGUCCAGGGCUUCACGCAUGCUACAAUGGCUGGUACAGAGAGUGGCGAGCCUGUGAGGGUGAGCGAAUCUCGGAAAGCCGGUCUCAGUUCGGAUUGGGGUCUGCAACUCGACCUCAUGAAGUCGGAGUCGCUAGUAAUCGCAGAUCAGCAACGCUGCGGUGAAUACGUUCCCGGGGCU
rnacentral:rRNA from 1 species